rnacentral:piRNA from 1 species
UAAAGGAUUAGAAGUUGCAGGACAAAUU